rnacentral:rRNA from 1 species
UACGUAGGGUGCAGGCGUUAAUCGGAAUUACUGGGCGUAAAGCGUGCGCAGGCGGUUUUCUAAGUCAGAUGUGAAAUCCCCGGGCUUAACCUGGGAACUGCGUUUGAAACUGGGAGGCUAGAGUGCGGCAGAGGGGGGUGGAAGUCCACGUGUAGCAGUGAAAUGCGUAGAUAUGUGGAGGAACACCGAUGGCGAAGGCAGCCCCCUGGGCCUGCACUGACGCUCAUGCACGAAAGCGUGGGGAGCAAACAGG